rnacentral:lncRNA from 1 species
UAUUUGACAGAGACAGACAUAGCGAGAGAGGGAACACAAGCAGGAGGAGUGGGAGAGGGAGAAGCAGGCUUCCCACAGAGCAGGGAGCCCGAUGCAGGGCUUGAUCCCAGGACCCCGGAAUCAUGACCUGAGCCGAAGGCAGACGCUUAACGACUGAGCCACCCAGGUGCCCCAAGGGGUCUUCUCACUGCUGACACAGGAUGGGGAUAAGCUGCAGUCAACCACUGGACGAACCACGGAGCACGGAUUUCCCAGGCCAGGCGUCUUCCCGUGACAAGACCCUUGAAAAUCGAGGAUUGGAGAAGGGGAGUCCCUGUUUCUACCAACACCAUGCAGGAGAAGCUAUGGUAGCCAUUGUGAGUUUGGUGAAAGCAAAACACACGGAGAAAGCAUCCUUUGAUACAGGCGACUGCACUUCCACGUGUAUCUGCCUUGUCCUACGACAGCCCUGUCCUCGCAGGAGGGAGCUGCCCCUGGUCCAGAAGGAGACGAGAGUCCUCAUUUGAUGCUUCCUUGAGUUGCCUAAACAAAAUGUGUUUUUAUGCGAAUGCCCGUUUAAAUACCUAACCAAGUUUCAUGUCAACUGUGGCUGUUGGUUUCUGAGAACCGAGGAUGGGCCUCCUGUCUGUGAAGGGCUAGCAGAGAGGCGCAUUCCAGUCUGUCUCUUCCAAAGCCAUCAGAUCGGACUGGGAAAAGAGACCAGCCUUUCUCAAGAAGCCUCCAGCAUCCCAGCCAACAGGGAACUUGGGCCUCAGGUUGAGGCAGGUUCCCACGAAGCAGCCAAAUGUUUGCAAAACAAGCAGCAGGAUGAAGAGGCUCGGUCUGCAGAGACAUCCCAAGGUUGCGACAGUCUUGGAAGAUGUGAGUGAGCUGAUGGAAGCGCCCUGGGGAGCCGAGGCUGAGAGGCAGACCUGCCCGGGGAAGAGCCAGGUCCCCUCUGCUUGCCGCCUGGACCCGACGUGCCGAGCAGGGGAGGGCUGAUGGGCUGGGAUAAUUGUCCAGUGUUUAUAUUUGAAAAGGGAUACUACACUUCCAGGAUAAUUCCCUCCAGCCUCCUCUUGGGCUAAGAUUUCCAAUUGGUCUAAAAUCCCAAAGAGAGAUCGGGGGCUGAUUACCUGGCCGACCGCGCCGCAAUCACACCUUUCAAUCCUAAUUAUGUGCUCCUUGAGUUCAAUGACACUGAGCAUCCGGGAUCUGGCUGGGGCGAACCUUGCCCGGUGGCUUGCCUCACCGGCUGAAGACAAUGAUUUGAACGGACAAAACACCCGCACUGUGCCUUGAUAAGCAGGAAAUGAACGCUUGUUUGCAAAUAAGAUUGGGAAAUGCAAUCAGCUUCUUGUUGGGCAUCUGUCUUUCGGUAACCAGCCUGAUAACGCUAAUGUAGAAAUAAUACAACAGAGGACAAGAGCGAGGGAUCCUUCUUUUAGGACUCCCUUCUACCCGCCCCCCAACUUUCUGUACCUGAAGCAAAGACAGAAGUAAAUGAAAUGUUAUUUUGUGGGUCCC